rnacentral:rRNA from 1 species
CCCUUAGAUGCCCUGGGCUGCACGCGCGCUACACUGAUGUGUCCAGUAAGCACCUAACCUCUUCCGAAAGGAACGGGUAACCUUUGCAAAGCACAUCGUGAUGGGGAUAGAUUAUUGCAAUUAUUAGUCUUGAACGAGGAAUUCCUAGUAAGCACAAGUCAUCAGCUUGUGUUGAUUACGUCCCUGCCCUUUGUACACACCGCCCGUCGCUCCUACCGAUUGAGUGGUCCGGUGAGGCUUUGGGAUCUGAGCGGAAAGAGCGUUUCGCUGUUUCUGCUCGGAAAACUCAGUCGAACCUUAUCAUUUAGAGGAAGGAGAAGUCGUAACA